rnacentral:SRP_RNA from 1 species
UCGUGCUAGACGGGGAACUGGCGGUGCCCUGUACCCGCAAACCGCCGUAGCGGGGUCGAAUUCCCCCUCGAGGGCUUAGGGGCGGUCGGGACUGCCAAGUCAAGUGGCGUAGAAGGUUGGGUCCUGCGCGGCAGGAGCCUGUGAACCCCGCCAGGUCCGGAAGGAAGCAACGGUAAGCAGGUACUUCUGGGUGCCGCAGGGUUGCCUGGCCGGAGCAGGCUGACAUUGGUAAGCCGGCUGUCACAGUUCGACAGGGGGUGCACGA